CGCGUAGGAAUCUGCCCGGUAAUGGGGGAUAGCCCGGAGAAAUCCGGAUUAAUACCGCAUACGCCCUAUGGGGGAAAGGUGGCCUCUUCGUGAAUGCUACCGUUAUCGGAUGAGCCUGCGUCGGAUUAGCUAGUUGGUGGGGUAAAGGCCCACCAAGGCGACGAUCCGUAGCUGGUCUGAGAGGAUGAUCAGCCACACUGGGACUGAGACACGGCCCAGACUCCUACGGGAGGCAGCAGUGGGGAAUAUUGGACAAUGGGCGCAAGCCUGAUCCAGCCAUGCCGCGUGUGUGAAGAAGGCUUUCGGGUUGUAAAGCACUUUCAGCGGGGAGGAAAGGUUUUAAGGUUAAUACCCUUAAGCUGUGACGUUACCCGCAGAAGAAGCACUGGCUAACUCAGUGCCAGCGGCCGCGG
rnacentral:rRNA from 1 species